rnacentral:lncRNA from 1 species
CAUUUAGUAAAGUUAUUUAUGGCGUGCAAAGGAUGCACGCCGUAUUAAGCCACUAUUUACGGCGUGCAUCUGUUGCACACCGUGUUUGGUUUUUUACGAUGUGCAAUAAGCUGUCCUAAGAAACCCAAUUAAACACGAUAUUUUGCUCCCAUUCGUAAGUUCUCCCCUUUCGGUUCGCUGCGCCUCUUGCCGUUCUUUUUCCCCAUCGACCCUGCGCUUCCAGUGCUGCCACCAGUCCACCGCAGCCACUCUCCUCGACUUCGCUCAGUGCCUCAACUCUCACUCUCCGCCUUCCACCGCCAACCACAGGCGCCAGCUCUCACUCGCGUCGCUCGCCUCUCAGGACCCAAAUCAAAAUAUUUCUAUAAAGUAAGGAUUCUUCAAAUUAAUACCCGCCCCUGUCUUGAUAGGGGUCUAGUUUCUAGAAGGAAUUGUAUGAUUUGAGCUAUUGAAUCAGUUAGCAUGAAUCAGAUUAAUACCUAAAAUCGAGUAUUGUUUGGCAAUUUCCUAAUUCGUAUCAUUCAACUUGAUAAUGAAAUUAAUUUUCGUAUUAUUGCAUUUUUCUAUAUGGAGUUUGAAAUAUGUUCCUUUGUUGAUGAAAUUUUUGAUUUUGAGUGUUUUUUAGGUUAUACUUUGGUUGUAAAUGUUGGCUGUGUUGUUUGAUUUUUGAAUGAAUUAAAUUUAGGUGUUUUCAGUUAUAUCUCAUUUUUGUUUGGCAUUGUAUAGAUGUGUAUAUUUAUAAACUCCAGUGAUUAAGUCCCCUUUAUGAUUUGAUUUUUUCUUUACAAUUGUGUUUCUAUUUGCUGGAGAAUAGGAGACAAAAUUAGAUAAUUGCUUUAUGUUUUCUGUUUUAUGCUAUUCCUUGUUACGGGAAUUUUUUUAUAGUAGUUCCUUGUGAUGAAACUUUUGAGUAAAAGGCCUUUCUUUUACUUACUCUUUGAUAUUGGUUUGUAUAUAAUUGAGGUAAGAAUCACCUUGAGAAGCUUUUCUUAACCAUGCUGCUCCCCACAGCAAUUCAUCCUAUCAAUUAAGAUUCAAUAGUAACUUGCCUGAUAUCCAUCAAAAUCACAGUAAAGCGGGCUUACAGCAUUCCUGAUAUUUGAGUUAUCACUAGUAAUAAUGGAAUUUCAGCAUUUUUUUGGCUAAGAACCUUUCAAGUACACUUUGGACCCCAUGCUUGAAUAUAUUCUAGACAUCCAUUUUCUUGUUCAAAUGAUGUUCCAAAUACAAUUUAAUGCUAUUGGCUAGAGUUGGUCCUUUCUGUGUGAUUCUGGUCCUUGAAAUCAACUAGUGAUUUUUUUUAUCAUUUAAAGCUUAUAUUAGGUAAUUUUAGCUCAUUAAUGUAUUUCUUCAUAUCAGAAUAAAAUAAAAGCAUAUUCAGCUCUGAUGCCCUCUCCAAGCAAACACUCACUUGAAGGUGAUGAUGUUGCAAAAGUACUUGGUCUAGAACGUCCAGGACGAGUAAGAGGUCUUGGUUUCGGUGCGACUCCUUCAAAGUUGAAUGCUUUGGUGUACAAUCAUAACUUGCAAACUCAAGUUCAAGAGUUGAGGAACGAAAUUAAAGAAUUAAAAGCUCUGUUUCAAGUGAAGGGUAAAAGUACUGAACAAGAAGAUAAUGUAAGUGGAAAUCUAGAAUCAAUGAAUGUUAUUUUACAUUACAUAUAUUUUCUAUAUUCAAAAUAAUAAAUUGUACAAGUGGAUAUUAAUUUUACAGUCUAGAGGCAGAAGAUUGAAUGAUUUAGAUAACCUUCAAAAUAAGAAGUGCAAAUUGUUAUCUUGGUUUGAGAAAGCUGAUAUUGUUGCAAAAUGUGAAAUUGCAUCAAUAAAUCCAAAUGAUCUAGUGCAUCAUGUACCCCUUGGUAAUGAAUGUUGGAGAGUUUGGGUUAAUGAAGUGAUCGAUAAUGUUAGCUUAUAUCAUCCCACGCGUGAGCUUUUUCUUCUGGAAGAUGUAUUAGGAAGUACAAUUGCAUGGCCAAGUAGGUAUAUCGAAGUGGAUUCCCUGUAAUCACAACGAAGAUAUGCUUAAUUUCUUUUUUAUUUUAAUUCCAUUUACCUUUAUGUUCGGUCUCUAUUGAAGAUUGUGUUGUUUAAUAUAUUUUUGAUUUGGAUGCUUAUUAAUUAUAUCCUUAUUAUUUUCGUGGUGUGCAGGGGAUCCAUAUUUCGUGGAGUAGCUAAAUUGUCAGUCAAAGAAGUGAACUUUGAUAGGUUUAAUAAUUUUUUGUUAUAUGACGGAACCUCAAUAUCCACGGGCUUAUUAGUUGAAUGGCGAUUGGCGCAUACAACAGUAGUCGAAUAUUUUUGAGAAUUGUUUAGAUGAAUUUUACAUUGGCAUAUUUUAUUGAACCGUAGUCAAUAUUUCUUUUUAUAGAAACAAUGGAAAACUUGAUUAUAUAUGGAGUAAUUUUUUUUUGUUAAUAUUACAG